GUGGGGAAUAUUGGGCAAUGGGGGAAACCCUGACCCAGCAACGCCGCGUGAAGGAAGAAGGUUUUCGGAUCGUAAACUUCUAUCCUUGGUGAAGAUAAUGACGGUAGCCAAGAAGGAAGCCCCGGCUAACUACGUGCCAGCAGCCGCGGUAAUACAUAGGGGGCAAGCGUUGUCCGGAAUGAUUGGGCGUAAAGGGCGCGUAGGCGGCCUGGUAAGUCUGGAGGGAAAGUCCUGCUUUUAAGGUGGGAAUUGCUUUGCAUACUGUCGGGCUUGAGUGCAGGAGAGGUAAGCGGAAUUCCCGGUGUAGCGGUGAAAUGCGUAGAGAUCGGGAGGAACACCAGUGGCGAAGGCGGCUUACUGGACUGUAACUGACGCUGAGGCACGAAAGCGUGGGGAGCAAACAGGAUUAGAUACCCCAGUAGUCC
rnacentral:rRNA from 1 species